UUUAGCGAGCAUCCCUGAGCAAAGAGAACUUUAGUUCAGCCCCCCGAUACUAGACGAGCUACUUCAAGACAGCCUGUUGACAUAACACCUGUAGGGCACACCCGUCUCUGUCGCAAAAGAGUGGGAAGAUCUUCAAGUAGGGGUGACAAACCUAUCGAGCCUAGUUAUAGCUGGUUGCCUGAGAAGUGAACCUAAGUUCAGCCUCCCGAAUCCCCCCAUCAACGACAUCUAUGUCUCCUUAGAUUAAAGGUGACCGAGAGAGUUAGUCAAAGAGGGUACAGCCCCUUUGAAAAAGGACACAACCCCCCGGGGAGAGGAAAGAUCACAUAUUAACCAAGGAAACUCAUUUUAGUGGGCCCAAAAGCAGCCACCUAAGAAGAAAGCGUUAUAGCUCCUAUGAAUUCCACCCCCUAAUACCGAGACCAACUCUUCACUCCCCCUCCACUAUCAAGCCGUCCCACAAACCCUGGGAAAGAACCUGCUAAAAUGAGUAAUAAGAGGGAACGCCCCUCUCCACCACAUAUGUGUAAAUCGGAACGGACCCACCACCGAAAACUAACGAACCCCCAAAGAGGGCAGUGUAACACCGCACAAAUAGCUAGAAAACCCAAUAUAAAAAAAUCGUUAACCCAACACAGGUGUGUACCCCCGGAAAGACUUAAACAAAGGGAAGGAACUCGGCAAACACAAGCCUCGCCUGUUUACCAAAAACACCGCCUCUUGCAGAACAAACGAAUAAGAGGUCCCGCCUGCCCAGUGACUAUAUGUUAAACGGCCGCGGUAUUUUGACCGUGCAAAGGUAGCGUAAUAAUUUGUCUUUUAAAUGAAGACUAGUAUGAAUGGCGUCACGAGGGCUUAGCUGUCUCCCCUCUAAAGUCAAUGAAAUUGAUCUCCCCGUGCAGAAGCGGGGAUAUGCUCGUAAGACGAGAAGACCCUAUGGAGCUUUAGACUUAAAGCAACCCACAUCAAACACCCCUCAAAAGAAACAAACAGGGUGGCCCUUGCUAAGAUGUCUUCGGUUGGGGCGACCACGGGGAAAAACAAAACCCCCACAUGGACAGGGGCCACAUACGCCCUAAAACAUAGACCCACAGGUCAAAUCAACAGUACUUCUGACCACCAAUGACCCGGCGCAAGCCGAUUAAUGAACCUAGUUACCCUAGGGAUAACAGCGCAAUCCCCUCCGACAGCCCUUAUCGACGAGGGGGUUUACGACCUCGAUGUUGGAUCAGGACAUCCUAAUGGUGCAGCCGCUAUUAAGG
rnacentral:rRNA from 1 species